UUUAUUUUAGUAUAGUAUAUUUGCCAAGUCAGGACAGCAGUAGGAUUUACUUUAUACAGACUUCCAUUCCAAAAGCUUGGAAAAAUAUAUCAGUAAUGUAAGAUAUAACUCUUGAAUAUCCAGAAUAGUCUUCUGGAUAAUGCAAGCAUAAAUAAGUUAUCUUCUUCACACAAAUUAUCCCCCCAAAGUAAUUUAUAACAUGUAAUUCUAUCUCUAAAAAACAGUUACAAUCCCUCUUAAAUUGAAUAUGAAUAAACAUGUGAAAGGAGCACAAGUUUUAAAACUUCAAU
rnacentral:lncRNA from 1 species